rnacentral:rRNA from 1 species
AGUGAACGCUGGCGGUAGGCCUAACACAUGCAAGUCGAACGGCAGCACAGUAAGAGCUUGCUCUUACGGGUGGCGAGUGGCGGACGGGUGAGGAAUACAUCGGAAUCUACUUUUUCGUGGGGGAUAACGUAGGGAAACUUACGCUAAUACCGCAUACGACCUACGGGUGAAAGCAGGGGAUCUUCGGACCUUGCGCGAUUGAAUGAGCCGAUGUCAGAUUAGCUAGUUGGCGGGGUAAAGGCCCACCAAGGCGACGAUCCGUAGCUGGUCUGAGAGGAUGAUCAGCCACACUGGAACUGAGACACGGUCCAGACUCCUACGGGAGGCAGCAGUGGGGAAUAUUGGACAAUGGGCGCAAGCCUGAUCCAGCCAUACCGCGUGGGUGAAGAAGGCCUUCGGGUUGUAAAGCCCUUUUGUUGGGAAAGAAAAGCAGCAGGUUAAUACCCCGCUGUUCUGACGGGACCCAAAGAAUAAGCACCGGCUAACUUCGU